AGAGUUUGAUCUGGCUCAGGAUGAACGCUAGCGGCAGGCCUAAUACNNGCAAGUCGAACGCCCAGCAAUGGGAGUGGCGCACGGGUGCGUAACGCGUAUGCAACCUACCUUAAACUGGGGGAUAGCCUUCCGAAAGGAAGAUUAAUACCCCAUAGUAUCACGAGAGGGCAUCUGAUUGUGAUUAAAGAUUUAUCGGUUUAAGAUGGGCAUGCGUGACAUUAGCUAGUUGGUGAGGUAACGGCUCACCAAGGCUACGAUGUCUAGGGGUUCUGAGAGGAUGAUCCCCCACACUGGUACUGAGAUACGGACCAGACUCCUACGGGAGGCAGCAGUAGGGAAUAUUGGGCAAUGGACGAGAGUCUGACCCAGCCAUGCCGCGUGCAGGAAGAAGGCCUUCUGGGUUGUAAACUGCUUUUAUCAGGGAAGAAAACGCUCCUGCGGGAGUAACUGACGGUACCUGGUGAAUAAGCACCGGCUAACUCCGUGCCAGCAGCCGCGGUAAUACGGAGGGUGCAAGCGUUGUCCGGAUUUAUUGGGUUUAAAGGCGUAGGCGGCUUAUUAAGUCAGUGGUGAAAGCCAACAGCUCAACUGUUGAACUGCCAUUGAUACUGAUAAGCUUGAGUACAGACGAGGUAGGCGGAAUUGAAGAUGUAGCGGUGAAAUGCAUAGAUAUCUUCAAGAACACCGAUUGCGUAGGCAGCUUACUAGGCUGUAACUGACGCUGAGGCACGAAAGCGUGGGGAGCGAACAGGAUUAGAUACCCUAGUAGUCC
rnacentral:rRNA from 1 species